GGACAGAAGGGAGCUUGCUCCCGGAUGUUAGCGGCGGACGGGUGAGUAACACGUGGGUAACCUGCCUGUAAGACUGGGAUAACUCCGGGAAACCGGAGCUAAUACCGGAUAGUUCCUUGAACCGCAUGGUUCAAGGAUGAAAGACGGUUUCGGCUGUCACUUACAGAUGGACCCGCGGCGCAUUAGCUAGUUGGUGGGGUAAUGGCUCACCAAGGCGACGAUGCGUAGCCGACCUGAGAGGGUGAUCGGCCACACUGGGACUGAGACACGGCCCAGACUCCUACGGGAGGCAGCAGUAGGGAAUCUUCCGCAAUGGACGAAAGUCUGACGGAGCAACGCCGCGUGAGUGAUGAAGGUUUUCGGAUCGUAAAGCUCUGUUGUUAGGGAAGAACAAGUGCGAGAGUAACUGCUCGCACCUUGACGG
rnacentral:rRNA from 1 species